rnacentral:lncRNA from 1 species
GGUGUGUGUGGGUAGGACACCUAAUGCCCCCCUAGGGAAGGUGGGUGUAGGUGGUAUCCAAUCAGGGUGUGUGGGUAGGACACCUAAUGCCCCCCUAGGGAAGGUGGGUGUAGGUGGUAUCCAAUCAGGUGUGUGGGAAGAAGAUGGUGAGAGACACAUAGCAUUACACAUUGUACCUCCAGUUAAUCUACCUCAGUCGUCCUAUACAGCCUUCAUCCCACCACUCCAGGAGCAUCAGCAGCAACAGCAGCAACAACACCCGUUGUACAACAAUGUGGACAGUAACCUUUUUUAAAUCUAACUCCAGUCCCACAUUGUCACACACUUGUGUUCUACUUUGUAUCAGUUAUUGUGCAACUUUGUUGAUUCGCAGACAACUGUGUACAAUGUGUUAAAUAUGAUCAUAUGGCAACUAGGAUUCUAAGGAUGCACACUUUCAAUUUUAACAGUGUAUAACAAUGUUUAACCCAAAGCAGCUCUCAGUUGUUAGUUUACCAGGACACAGACACAGCGUUGUACACUCUGUUAGCCACAGAUCUGGUUGUACUGAGUUUGUGCAUGUUUCUAAUAUUCAGUUUCAAAGGCUGAUCUUUGACCUAAGUAAACCUCAUUUGACUUUUAUGGUGACCUUUAACUUUUGGUGACCUUGAGCUGUUCUAUACGUGUGCUUUUUACGCUGUAUCCAUGUGGUUCACAGACAUAGGAUGUAUCUCACAACAAUGACAGUUUGAAUGUGUUGAAUCAUUUAAUUAGUCUGUCCUUGUUAGUAUGGUUGUGUUAUACCAGUGUGGUAAGUCUGUGUCGUUACCAUAGUUACCAUGUUACAGAGUUGUAGUUACCAUGGGUUCCUUUUGUAGCCAGCUGUGUGCACUGUUAGAUAAUCAAGGGGGAUAAUCAAGGGGGAUAAUCCUGGGUGUAGAUGCUUUGUAACUCUCGGCCGUAUCUGCUCCAGUCACGAUCCGCUUUGGUCGCUACAGUGGUAUCAAUGCUUUCUGGUCUCCCCAGGUCAGGUCGACCUGUGGCGUUAUGAGAGAUAGCCUGUAGAGGUCGACCUGUGGUGCUUGAAGAAAUGGCCUGCAGAGGUCGACCUGUGGUGCUUGAAGAAAUGGCCUGCAGAGGUCGACCUGUGGUGCUAUGAGAGAUAGCAUGCAGAGGUCGAUCAGUGGUGCUUGAGGAAAUGGCCUGCAGAGGUCGACCUGUGGUGCUAUGAGAGAUAUCAUGCAGAGGUCAAACUUUGGUGCUCACAGAUAGAUUGAAAUGUUGACCUUGGUGCUGGCACACAUAAGGUGCAAAGGUCGACCUUGGGUGCUGAGAUACAUUAAAUGCAUAGGUCGACCUUGGGUGCUGACACACAUUUAAUGCAAAAGUUACCCAUUUCUGCUGACAUACAUUAAAUGCAGACUGUAAAUGCAUAGGUCGACCUCCUGUUCUGUCAGAGAUUGAAUGUUAAGAUCACUCCUGCUGCUGACAGUGAUGUCUGUUCAGAGUUCACAGAACCUGUGGUACAACCGUCGCACCAGUCCUUUUAUUCUCUGGGAAAACAGUUGCUGUAGAGCAGUUGAACAUUUUGACCAUUCCGCAAGAAGCGAUUGUAUGGAUAUUAAACUGGGGAGAUCAGUCAGUGCAGUGGAAGGCUUAAUCUAGAACAUAUAGUUAGAACAUGAUUAAGGAACGUUCAUAAUUUAUGGCUAGGGAGUGAUGAUGAUUUUAUGGAGGAGCAUGUAAAAUUUGAAUGACCCC